AAUGCCGAUUUAUAUCAAAUUCGCUAGUUUGGAGACCAAGAAAUUAUACUGUAUCUGUGGAAGGAUCUUGAAACAAUUAUUUCCUAAAUUCGGUGCCAUUUUCUGAUUUCCUUCUAAUCUUUCCCUCCCGCAAACCCUAACCCUAAAUCUUCCAAACCCGGAAUCUCCGAGAUCCGGCCACUCGGCAAUCAUCCAGCGUCCGAAGAGAUGCUGCUCUUCGAUUCCCGAGCCCUCGUAUUCGUUUGAUCGUCCACUCCUUCCCUUCGAGUCGGAUGAGAUGACCGUGCUGCUAGAUGAUGGAGAUACACUAAAGCAUGAUAUGUGUUGUACUAUAUGUUGCCAGAAAAACUUAAUUGGGCAUUGGGCAUGCCCAAGGGACUAUACUUAGAGAAUCACCACUUUUCCUAUCUUCUAGCUUCUGUAGCUAUGAUGCAACCCAGGUUUGUGAGGCUGCUUUGAUGAUUUAGAGAUCUUGAAGUGGAAGGUGUUUCCGUAGUUCAAGGAUGAUGUGGUCAAAAGGCAUGAUGACUGGAACUCGGCGUGUUCUUCUGACAUGAUUCAUGUUGGCAGUGUUACGUUGCAUGGAAUGUAGUGUUGAAAAGAUGCUGAUUAAGCUUGUAGACCAAAAUUUUGUACAUAUUAUCCCAUGUAUGACCAGCACUAAUUUCCCAAAGUUUAGAGUUGGCAGGAAUCUUGGCACCGAUCUGCCUUGAAAGAAUCCAAGGGUACAAAAAUGGGAAGCAUAUCGACUUUAUCAGCAAGAUUAGGCCUCCACAUGGAAGACAACGUGUAGUGGUUGGACCAGAAUUGCCAGCAUCCAUGCGCCGCCAUUUUUUAUUGGCCAGCAUUAGUUUUUUAUUUUGGUAGCUGGAAGCUCUGCUGUCAAUUUAGGGUUUGGCGAUCACACUCUAAACAUGUUGGUCCCAAGGCCCUUGUGACGGGUUGGUGUCUCUACUUUGCCAAAAGGAUUAUUUCUCUUUUGGUUCCGCUUCGUUGCUUCUGGUGGCCGCCUCUGUUGAUCUACUCUUAUUCUCUUAAACUUGUCUUCCUCUGUGUUACUACUUCAAAGGGUAUCAAGAAUUUGCAAAAAUCAUCGGCAAGAGAAGGUCGUUUAUUGGGUUUUUUUCCUUGUUGAUGAGAUUUAAGAGUCCAUAGACGAACGGUUGCACACACUACUUUAAAGGGAUCAAGAACUUGCAAGAAGCUUUGGCAAGAGAAGGUCUUUUACUCGGUUUCUUUGUUGUCGAUGAGAAAAGAGUCCGUUGACAGAAGGUUGCACACCGUCAUUAUAAAACAUUUUUACUCUUUUUUUUUUUUUUUCUUUUCCUCCCAUAUUUUCUGAGCUUUUACAGUGCAGUGGGUUAGUCAUAAAAUCAAAUAUUAUAUAAUAUGUACAAUAUACAGCUUGCAAUCCACAGUAAGUGCAGUACUUGUCAUGAAGGAUCAGCGAGUCCGGUCCAAUAGAAUAAGAAACACGAAAUUAAAUUAAAUAUUGAGCAAUCAACGUACAACACUGGAGAAGAUAUUAUGCUUUAUAAUGA